rnacentral:rRNA from 1 species
GCAUGAAGCCCCCCUCAAGAUGAGAUUUCCCAACUUCGGUUAUAAGAUCCCUCAAAGAUGAUGAGGUUAAUAGGUUCGAGGUGGAAGCAUGGUGACAUGUGGAGCUGACGAAUACUAAUCGAUCGAAGACUUAAUCAAAUU